UGUCAGUUCAUUGUGAAUGUCUCCCUGUGCAUCAAAACCGGUCCCUGCAUUGUUCUUUGUGGCUUUCCCUGAUUUUUCGGGAUUUUGUCUUUUUGGACGUUUUGUUAUCAGUUUGCAGCAGUCACAUGAUAUGUUGUCACCCUGCCUGCUUGCUAGCAGUGAAAUUCCCUUGCUGCUUUGUCUCACCAACUCACCCCGACAAGAAAAAAACAGCAGCAGUACGGAUACAGCCGUCUGUGUACCUUGAUCCCUCCCCACGAGUGGUUGGACAGGAAAUCCACAGGUGAUGUUACACCUGGUUGGACAGGAUAUCUCAGAAGGAAGUCCAGCUCUGCAGGGUUGAUUUCUUUAUUCAUCAGCAGGAUCUGGGGACGAAACAAACAGGACGGACUCUGAGCUGUUGUGUUUUCAGCACAAAGCACAUUUCCUCUCCGCUUGAUUAGAUCCAAACAGGACCGCCGGUCUCAGGAGCCGCUGAUUCUUGUUCUGAAAACAAACCAUGCAGAAGAUGAAACUGGCCCCCAUUCUUACCUGGAAGGCGAGCUGAGCGAUAUACGUGAGCUUGUCACACUCAAACAGGCCUCUGGUGGUGUACUGGAACACCGAGGAGGUGAUGUUGUCAAUCAGGUUGGACACUCGCUGCUUCAGAACCUCGUCUGGCUCCGCCUUCAGGACUGCUUUCUGGAAGACCACGCUGAACGCCUGAGAACAGACGGGUCAGAGACGACACUUAAAUAUGUCUCUGACUUCAGAGUGAGACCAAAGGAACAAAAGUAACACUCAGAGUAGAAUCGAUUCAAACCAUGAUCAAACUAUAAAGCAGUGUAUGGUUCAUUUUGACCUUUCAAUAAUAAAUUAACACACCACAA